UACGUAGGGUGCAAGCGUUGUCCGGAAUUAUUGGGCGUAAAGAGCUCGUAGGCGGCUUGUCACGUCUGCUGUGAAAACUUGGGGCUCAACUCCAAGCCUGCAGUGGAUACGGGCUAGCUAGAGUGCGGUAGGGGAGACUGGAAUUCCUGGUGUAGCGGUGAAAUGCGCAGAUAUCAGGAAGAACACCCGUGGCGAAAGCGGCUCUCUGGAACGGUACUGACGCUGAGACGCGAAAGCGUGGGGAGCGAACAGG
rnacentral:rRNA from 1 species